CUUAAUUCAGGAAAUUAUCCCUUAUUUCAGCGUGCCUGGAAACAUCCAGUCAAACAACGGUCCAGAGUUUACAGCUCAGGUGGUCCAGCUGGUCGCCAAGUCUCUCAACAUCUCCUGGAAACUACACAUCCCCUACCACCCUCAGUCGUCAGGUAGGGUUAAACGGGCUCACAGCAUCCUCAAAAAUCAUUUGGCCAAACUCACCAUAGAGGUAAAACUCUCUUAGCCCACACUCCUACCUCUUGCCCUAGCCCGGGUUAAAGCCACCCCACGGAAGCCAAUGGGUCUCAGCCCCUUUGAGUUGCUGUACGGCAGGCCUUUUCUAGUUUCUCACAAUCUCCCGGUACAACCGCCUCCUCUGGCUUCCUACCUUCCCUACCUCUCUCUCCCGCCACUUACUCAUGGAACACGCAGACCGUGCUCUCCCCGUGGUUCCGGGACCAGAGGACUCCCACUCAACUAUACCUCUCCAGCCAGACUCCUGUCAUUCAAAAAAUGAUACCUAUGGUGGAUGCCCAUACGCUUCUUGUGUUAUACCCACAAACUUUAGAACUGACACCACCCCAAAAAGUUGAAUGCUCUUCGCCAACAACCAAGGUAAAGUGUCCCUUAUCAUCCAUGAUCUCUGGGACGCCCACUGGAAAAGGGGUACGGCAGG